rnacentral:lncRNA from 1 species
UCCAUGAAAUUUGAGACUUUAUUUAUGAUUUUCGCCUUGGCGGCAUCCUUUACCAGUCUUAAUAUUUUAACCACUACUUCGUACAUUAAAAACCAACAAAAAGUGCAAAAAUCAUCGCUGGUGAGCAAUGCCGCCAUAUUCGAAAACGAAAAAAACGUCCGUCUCAGAGACACAUUUUUAUCCGAAAUUACACAAGCCUCGAAUUCGGUAAAAUGACGUUGAAGUUGACGUCACUUAAUUAGAUAUUUGUUUUCAUUAAUUUGUUUUUCAAGCAACAGCCAUUAGAGCUAGUGUUAAGAUCAAUAAUAUCGGACGAAGAUUUUUAAGUUUAAACGUUUCAACAUUUAGUGAAAUAGAUCACAAACCUAAUGAGUAAAUUAGCGAAUUGUUUCCCUUUGAAAUCAACACGCCAUUAUCGGUGGAUACAUGUCUGAAACUGGGUCAGAGAAUACAUGCAGUUAUUGCUCUGAAUAUACGCGGAUAUUUAAAGUGCAUGGCGGAUUUAAUAAUUGUUAUGGACAACCUCCAGCAGUAAGAAAUAUAAAGACUCACUGCAGUUUUGAGUGCUCAACAAGUAACUGUAUUGACCCCAUACUAUGCUCAGCAAGUAGGGCCCUUGUAUUUCUGUGAAUCCUCAUGCAGUACAGUACUGCUGUUGGAAGAGGAGCAAACAGUGUGGUAUCUAUGGUCCACCAUCACUU